AUGGCCGGCGGCGGCACCAGCAUCAGGAAGUAUGUGGGCGCCCUCAAGGACUCCACCACCGUCAGCAUCGCCAAAGUCAACAGCGACUACAAGCAACUGGACAUCGCGAUCGUCAAGGCCACCAACCAUGUGGAGCGCCCUGCAAAGGAGAAGUACAUCAGAGACAUCUUCAUGCAUCUUAAUUCCGGGCGGGCUCGGGCCGACGUGGCCUACUGCAUCCGCGCCCUCGCCAGACGCCUCUCCAAGACGCGCAACUGGGCGGUUGCACUCAAGACAUUGAUUGUCAUACACCGUGCCCUUCGCGAGGUCGACCCUUCUUUCCGUGAUGAGCUCAUCAGUUAUGGAAGAUCUAGCGGCCAGAUGCUACACAUGUCCUAUUUCAAAGAUGACUCUAGCCCUGAUGCUUGGGAUCACUCUGCUUGGAUACGCAAUUACGCUUUGUUUUUGGAAGAGAGGCUCGAAUCUUUCCGUGUGCUGAAUUAUGACGUCGAACUGGAUCCAUUGGGAACACGAGAUGUUGAUACGACUGGUUUGCUUGCACAACUGCCGGCAUUGUCGCAACUUCUUUUUCGGCUAAUCAGUUGUCAGCCGCAUGGGUCAUCAUCUUAUAACACCAUAAUCCAGCAUGCUCUUUCAAUGGUUGCUACGGAGAGCGUUAGGAUCCAGACAGCCAUCAAUGAUGGCAUACUCAAUCUAGUUGACAAGUUUUUUGAUAUGCAUAGGGACGACGCUAUUAGGGCCCUGGACAUAUACAAAAAAGCACUUAAGCAGGCAGGGCAACUUUCUGGAUUUUACGAGACGUGUAAAACCAUACAUAUUGGGCGGGAUGAGAAGCUGUUAACAAUCGAACAGCCUCCCGCGUCAUUCUUGCAAGCCAUGGAAGAUUAUGUGAGAGAUGCUCCCCUUGCUUCAAAAAAUCAGGCUGUACUGGCAAUAGAGUACAACAGAAAACCAGAAGAGGAAGAAGCAUCAACUCCACCACCUCCUCCUCAAGUAUCAACUUCAGAGAAAGAACCAGAACCAGAGCCGGUUACAAAAGUCAUGCCUAGAGUCGAGCAAAUAGAUUUGCUGGGGAUGGAUGAGCCGAUCCCUGACACGUCCGAGCUAGAUCAAAAGAAUGCUUUGGCCUUAGCAAUUGUUGAACCAGAUAAUGCGCGUAAAGCUGCUGCUGGUUCCGAAAAUGUCGCCACCAGCUGGGAGCUAGCACUCAUCACAGAACCCAGUGCAAGUGAAAAUGUUGCUACUUCAAGAAAUUUGGCCGGUGGAAUGGAUCUGCUCACCCUCGACAGCCUCUACGACGACGCACACCAGCAUGCCCAGCAGAAUGUGAGCUACAAUCCCUGGGAGCAGCCGGCCCCGGCUUCGGCUCCGAUGAUGCAGCAGCAGUAUCAGCAGCAGCCGAUGCACAACCCGUUGUACGCCUCGGCGCAGCAGCAGCAGGCGUUCAUGCUCCAGCAGCAGCAGGCCUUCGUGCUCCAGCAGCAGCACCAGUACCAGCAGAUGAUGAUGAUGGGCGCGCCGUCGCUCCAUCGCCAGGCGUCCUCCAACCCAUCGCUCCAUCGCCAGGCGUCCUCCAACCCGUCGCUCCAUCGCCAGGCGUCCUCCAACCCGUCGUUCCAUCGUCAGGGAUCCUCCAACCCGUUCGACAGAUCAUAUGUGCCGGCAGCCGCCCCCGGUGGUGGUUACCCUUAUGCUCCGGCGAUGCAGCUCCACACCGGCAACGCCUACACCGGGACCGGCAUGAUGUAG
rnacentral:rRNA from 1 species